rnacentral:ncRNA from 1 species
AUUCUGGUUGAUCCUGCCAGUAGUUAUAUGCUUGUCUCAAAGAUUAAGCCAUGCAUGUCUAAGUACACACGAAUUAAAAGUGAAACCGCAAAAGGCUCAUUAUAUCAGUUAUGGUUCCUUAGAUCGUUAACAGUUACUUGGAUAACUGUGGUAAUUCUAGAGCUAAUACAUGCAAUUAAAACACGGACCUUAUGGGACGUGUGCUUUUAUUAGGCUAAAACCAAGCGAUCGUAAGAUCGUUACAUUGGUUGAACUCUAGAUAACAUGCAGAUCGUAUGGUCUUGUACCGACGACAGAUCUUUCAAAUGUCUGCCCUAUCAACUUUUGAUGGUAGUAUCUAGGACUACCAUGGUUGCAACGGGUAACGGGGAAUCAGGGUUCGAUUCCGGAGAGGGAGCCUGAGAAACGGCUACCACAUCUAAGGAAGGCAGCAGGCGCGUAAAUUACCCACUCCCAGCUCGGGGAGGUAGUGACGAAAAAUAACAAUACAGGACUCAUAUCCGAGGCCCUGUAAUUGGAAUGAGUACACUUUAAAUCCUUUAACAAGGACCAAUUGGAGGGCAAGUCUGGUGCCAGCAGCCGCGGUAAUUCCAGCUCCAAUAGCGUAUAUUAAAGUUGUUGCGGUUAAAACGUUCGUAGUUGAACUUGUGCUUCAUACGGGUAGUACAACUUACAAUUGUGGUUAGUACUAUACCUUUAUGUAUGUAAGCGUAUUACCGGUGGAGUUCUUAUAUAUAAUUAAGUACUU